ACAACAUGUGUGUGUGUCUGUGUGCGCAUGUGUGUAUGGACACGCAGCUUUUCUCUUGCAUAUUCCAGAAUGGUUUAUGUUCAUUACUGCUAAUUGUAUGAAUUGUGAACCUGAGGAAUAAGAAACUAUGGUCAAAUUUUCCACUAACCAUUAUUACUUUUGAUGCAAGCUGAUCACCUGAAGACAAAAAUGACUUUAAGAGAUGCUGAGCAUCAACCCAUUAAAUGUGUCAAUGAGUCUUUGGCUUUGAGGCUGCUAGUAUCAGUAGACAUAUUUAGAAACUGUGAGUUGCUCAAAGCCACAUAAUGUUUUGAAGCAGGAAACAGGAUAAGCAUUCUGAUCUUCUGAUGUUCAUCGUUUGUUUUUUGUUUCAGUCAUUUACACAGUGCUGUUCAUUUUAGUUGAACAGACAUUCCCUAGCUACAUUUAGUACAGAAUUUUCUACAAUUCUUUAUUUGACAUGUAUUUAUUUCUCUUUGUAGAUUGGUCCAGUAGUGAGUUUUUAGGGAACCAACUGGAAAACCUUAUGUGGAUGUAUUGGAAUCUCAUCCUUUCCACCCAUCUUUUCCACCAAUCUGGUGGGGUAACCUGGAUUGCCAGGGAGUUCUCCUGGAGGGUAGCAGCUGGUGAUUUGAACAACUGCAGUCUGAAGAGGGACAAAAACCUCCAACUUCUUGGAUACAGUCAUAAUGAGACUGAAUGACUCAGAAAGCUAACUGCAAAGUUUGAGAGGCCUAUCUCUUGGUCCAUGAUUUCAGCCUGUUUCAGGUGACCAGUAAGAAGGCUUCAUCAUAUGCUACUCUUGCUACAACUAAAUACUAUUAUCUCUGGAAUCAGAAACACUUUGAUUCAUCACUGAAGAUCUACAUAGAAAUUACGAAGCAAACUUCAGCAAAAUCAAAUGAGUAGCCUGGUUUAGAGAGAAAUAAACAUCAAUGUUAUUACAGGGAAAGAAACUGAGCUGGGAAUUUUUCUUGACAAUAGCUGAAGAACUUCUGAGAAGUCCUGGAAUACCAGCAGGCCGAGACUACAGAGGCUUGGGCCAGCAACUUCUCCAUUACCUCUCCGGUAACAGUCAGUUCUUCCGAUGAGACGUGGUCUCCAGAAGUCCCCGGCAAGGCGGUGUGCAUUCCAGAUUCCACUUCAAUUAUUCACGUGGGGACUGCAGUGAGACCCAUGAAUACAAGCAUCAUUUUCUAAUUUCCCCACACCCUGCACUUCAGGUGAUUCUUCCUGCCUUUCUAGCAGUGGGUGACCUGCUGGAUUUUCAUGAUGGGGCAUAAAAAUGAAAAAAGGAUUGUAAGAAAGCAGCGAUGGAUACCUCUCCAGAUUUAAGGAGAGUCUUUACAGUGGUUUUGUAAGAAGAUCUCAUCUAUCUCUUUAAUAAAUAAAGAAUUUGGGUGACACAGGACCUUCUUGUCUCCAAUGGAGGACGUUUUCCUCCGGGGAACCUGAAGCUCAGUUAUUAAAAAUGAAAAUCUGCCUCAGCCUUUCAACGCAGUUCUUGGAAACACCAGCUGUUAAAAAGGGGAGAGGAAGACAGGAGCCAAACCGACUGAUGCUUUUCAGAUAAAGCUUUCCUGCAAUCUUGGUGCUAGGACAGCUGCAUCCGACUACGCAGAGGAGAAUAGAACUGUAAAGUCUAUCCAUCCUACUUUUACCAGAAUUUGGAGAUGAUUUGCCAUUGGAUUCACUGGGAGAAGAAUCAAGCCUUCAGUUUUAUCUUAGCCCUAAUAAGUGUAUAUAUAUAAAAAAUACUGCAUUUACAAUGGAUAUAGUGAAAACAAAGUCAGAGAAUCAAAAGGAAUUUUUUCUCUAUCUGCCAUAUAGAUUAUUUUGCUUUCAUAACAAUCUUUAACUUUUGUGUUACAUAAAAAAACUUCAAACAUGAGAAUUUAUUAAAACCAUUAGCUGAAGACAAUAAACAUCAAAAAGUAUUUUAAGAAUAUCCUAUAGGUUGUGAAACAGAGGAUACAGAUUUACAUGCAAAAAUAGAGGGCCUGAACUUACAAACAAGUUAUUAAAUGCAGGGACUUUUCCAAAAGGCAUUCUGAGCUGAAUAUUUAACAUCUUGUAGGCUCUUCAUGAAACUGGAAGGAAAACCUGAGAUUGGAGCAACAAAAUAAAGUUCUUUCAACUUUCUUUUUGUAUUUUCUUAAAGAAGUAGAUAAAAAUGUCAAGCAGCUGGCAGAUUUGAGAACUUUUGAAUUACUGGCAGAACUGGGUAAUUCUGGUUGUAUUCCCAGUUUUGCUUCCUAACUUUAGUUUGAAUUUUAUUGCACCUAGGCUUAAUGCUCCACUGUGCUGAACUGCCCCAACAGUCCCAUAUUACAGUAGGAAACAUAAACACUCAGCACCAGGGGUCAAGUUUCUCUGCUUUAUCUUCACAUUUAUGAUAGCUGAGCUCUGUUUUUCCACCAUUUUCCAUCCAAAUAUGAAUGUUUUUGAGGUCAAAUCUCAAGAAGUAACAUUGAGCAGUUACCCAAAGAAAUGCAAUACACUGUGCAGGUUCCAACCAAAAGUCCACUUAGCCCAGUGUGCAAUCUUUGACAGAGGCCAAUAGCAAAUGCUUAGAGAAACAGUAUUAGAACAUACAAUAUACUAACAUGAUUUUCUGCUUCUGUAAGGUGGGAAUGAUAAUAUAUCUUUAUUCUACUGGGACCAUAUGCACUGCAUUUUAUUUUAUUAGGACCUGAUUCUGCAAAGACUUCUCUAUUUUAUUUCCUGUGAGUAGCAUUGGGAAUAAUCAAAACGAAGGGAAUUUAGAAUCUGUGUAUCUGCUCCAGGAUAGGGUUUAUUACUGUUGUUAACUGAGAAAACAAUGGAAAAAUUGACUGGGGAAUUUUUCAAAAAAUCUAAUAAAAAUGUAUCACUCG